rnacentral:rRNA from 1 species
AUUGAACGCUGGCGGCAGGCCUAACACAUGCAAGUCGAACGGUAGCACAGAGAGCUUGCUCUUGGGUGACGAGUGGCGGACGGGUGAGUAAUGUCUGGGAAACUGCCUGAUGGAGGGGGAUAACUACUGGAAACGGUAGCUAAUACCGCAUAACGUCGCAAGACCAAAGAGGGGGACCUUCGGGCCUCUUGCCAUCAGAUGUGCCCAGAUGGGAUUAGCUAGUAGGUGGGGUAACGGCUCACCUAGGCGACGAUCCCUAGCUGGUCUGAGAGGAUGACCAGCCACACUGGAACUGAGACACGGUCCAGACUCCUACGGGAGGCAGCAGUGGGGAAUAUUGCACAAUGGGCGCAAGCCUGAUGCAGCCAUGCCGCGUGUAUGAAGAAGGCCUUCGGGUUGUAAAGUACUUUCAGCGAGGAGGAAGGACGAGUAGCGGUUAAGUAACCGUGUCGAUUGACGUUACUCGCAGAAGAAG